UACGGGGGGGGCAAGCGUUGUUCGGAAUUACUGGGCGUAAAGGGCUCGUAGGCGGCCAACUAAGUCGGAUGUGAAAUCCCCAGGCUUAACCUGGGAACUGCAUCCGAUACUGGAUGGCUUGAAUUCGGGAGAGGGAUGCAGAAUUCCAGGUGUAGCGGUGAAAUGCGUAGAUAUCUGGAGGAACACCGGUGGCGAAGGCGGCGUCCUGGACCAACACUGACACUGAGGAGCGAAAGCCAGGGGAGCAAACGGG
rnacentral:rRNA from 1 species